GCUACCAUGGGUGUAGUGGUAAGUAUCCCCACCUGUCACACAGGAGACCGGGGUUCGAUUCCCCGACGGCAAGCC
rnacentral:tRNA from 1 species